rnacentral:rRNA from 1 species
AUACGGAGGGUCCAAGCGUUAUCCGGAAUCAUUGGGUUUCAAGGGUCCGCAGGCGGUCAAUUAAGUCAGAGGUGAAAGCCCAUCGCUCAACGACGGAACUGCCUUUGAUACUGGUUGACUUGAGUUAUACGGUAGUAGAUAGAAUAAGUAGUGUAGCGGUGAAAUGCAUAGAUAUUACUUAGAAUACCGAUUGCGAAGGCAGUCUACUACGUAUAUACUGCCGCUGAGGGACGAAAGCGUGGGGAGCGAACAGGAUUAGAAACCCUAGUAGUCC